AGAGUUUGAUUCUGGCUCAGAACUAACGCUGGCGGCGCGUCUUAAACAUGCAAGUCGAACGGUAUUCCUUGAGCUUGCUUAGGGAAGAGAGUGGCGAACGGGUGAGUAACACGUGAAUAAUCUGCCUUUGGGUUCGGGAUAACUGUCCGAAAGGAUAGCUAAUACCGGAUAAGAUGGCAGCUGCACAGGCAGCAGCCAUUAAAGAUGGGGACCGCAAGGCCUAUCGCCUGAAGAUGAGUUCGCGGCUGAUUAGCUAGUUGGUAUGGUAAAGGCUUACCAAGGCAACGAUCAGUAGCCGGCCUGAGAGGGUGAACGGCCACAUUGGGACUGAGAUACGGCCCAGACUCCUACGGGAGGCAGCAGUUGAGAAUCUUGCACAAUGGGGGGAACCCUGAUGCAGCGACGCCGCGUGGAUGAUGAAGGCCUUCGGGUUGUAAAGUCCGAUAAGCAGGGAAGAAUAAGUGAGGGGUAAUAUUCCUCAUGAUGACGGUACCUGCCUAAAGCCCCGGCUAACUACGUGCCAGCAGCCGCGGUAAUACGUAUGGGGCGAGCGUUGUUCGGAAUUAUUGGGUGUAAAGGGCGUCUAGGCGGGAGAUUAAGUUAGAUGUGAAAGGCGUGGGCUUAACCCGCGAAUUGCAUCUAAAACUGGUUUUCUUGAGUUCGGGGGAGGGGGAGCGGAAUUCUUGGUGUAGCGGGGAAAUGCGUAGAUAUCAAGAAGAACACCAGUGGGCGAAGGGGGGCUCUCUGGCCCUAGAACUGACGCUGAAGCGCGAAAGCGUGGGUAGCGAACGGGAUUAGAUACCCCGGUAGUCCACGCCGUAAACGUUGUAUACUAGGUGUUAGUGGCUUGACUACUAGUGCCGCAGCAAACGCAUUAAGUAUACCACCUGGGGAGUACGCCCGCAAGGGUGAAACUCAAAGAAAUUGACGGGGGCCCGCACAAGCGGUGGAGCAUGUGGUUUAAUUCGAUGAUACGCGAAGAACCUUACCUGGACUUGAACUGUGCUUGACAGGUGUAGAGAUACGCUCUCCCUUCGGGGCAAGUACAGAGGUGCUGCAUGGUUGUCGUCAGCUCGUGUCGUGAGAUGUUGGGUUAAGUCCCGCAACGAGCGCAACCCCUACUCUCUGUUGCUAUCAGGUAAUGCUGGGCACUCUGAGGGAACUGCCGGUGACAAACCGGAGGAAGGUGGGGGGGACGUCAAAUCAUCACGGCCCUUAUGUCCAGGGCUACACACGUGCUACAAUGGCCGGUACAAAGAGUUGCUAAACCGCGAGGUCAAGCUAAUCUCAAAAAACCGGUCUCAGUUCGGAUUGGAGUCUGCAACUCGACUCCACGAAGUUGGAAUCGCUAGUAAUCGUGGAUCAGAACGCUACGGUGAAUACGUUCCCGGGCCUUGUACACACCGCC
rnacentral:rRNA from 1 species